rnacentral:rRNA from 1 species
GACGAACGCUGGCGGCGUGCUUAACACAUGCAAGUCGAACGGAAAGGCCCUGCUUUUGUGGGGUGCUCGAGUGGCGAACGGGUGAGUAACACGUGAGUAACCUGCCCUUGACUUUGGGAUAACUUCAGGAAACUGGGGCUAAUACCGGAUAGGAGCUCCUGCUGCAUGGUGGGGGUUGGAAAGUUUCGGCGGUUGGGGAUGGACUCGCGGCUUAUCAGCUUGUUGGUGGGGUAGUGGCUUACCAAGGCUUUGACGGGUAGCCGGCCUGAGAGGGUGACCGGCCACAUUGGGACUGAGAUACGGCCCAGACUCCUACGGGAGGCAGCAGUGGGGAAUAUUGCACAAUGGGCGGAAGCCUGAUGCAGCAACGCCGCGUGCGGGAUGACGGCCUUCGGGUUGUAAACCGCUUUCGCCUGUGACGAAGCGUGAGUGACGAUAAUGGGUAAAGAAGCACCGGCUCCCUACGUC